rnacentral:rRNA from 1 species
GACGAACGCUGGCGGCGUGCCUAAUACAUGCAAGUCGAGCGGACCGGAUUGGGGCUUGCCUUGAUUCGGUCAGCGGCGGACGGGUGAGUAACACGUGGGCAACCUGCCCGCAAGACCGGGAUAACUCCGGGAAACCGGAGCUAAUACCGGAUAACACCGAAGACCGCAUGGUCUUCGGUUGAAAGGCGGCCUUUGGGCUGUCACUUGCGGAUGGGCCCGCGGCGCAUUAGCUAGUUGGUGAGGUAACGGCUCACCAAGGCGACGAUGCGUAGCCGGCCUGAGAGGGUGACCGGCCACACUGGGACUGAGACACGGCCCAGACGCCUACGGGAGGCAGCAGUAGGGAAUCUUCCGCAAGGGGCGAAAGCCUGACGGAGCGACGCCGCGUGAGCGAAGAAGGCCUUCGGGUCGUAAAGCUCUGUUGUGAGGGACGAAGGAGUGUCGUUCGAAGAGGGCGGCGCGGUGACGGUACCUCACGAGAAAGCCCCGGCUAACUACGUG